rnacentral:rRNA from 1 species
GAACCGUACGAACGUUACUCGGGAAUCACUGGGCUUAAAGGGGUGCGCAGGCGGCCUAGUAAGUUGGGGUGUGAAAUCCCUCGGGCUCAACCGAGGAACUGCGCUCAAUACUGCUAGGCUUGAGGGAGGUAGAGGUGAGCGGAACUAAUGGUGGAGCGGUGAAAUGCGUUGAUAUCAUUAGGAACACCAGUAGCGAAGGCGGCUCACUGGACCUCUUCUGACGCUCAGGCACGAAAGCCAGGGUAGCGAACGGGAUUAGAUACCCCGGUAGUCCUGGCUGUAAACGAUGAGCACUGGGUCGGAGGCCCCUCCACAGGUUUCCGACCGUAGCGAAAGUGUUAAGUGCUCCGCCUGGGGAGUAUGGUCGCAAGGCUG